rnacentral:rRNA from 1 species
GAUCCAGAGCUUGCUUUGGUGAUUAGUGGCGAACGGGUGAGUAACACGUGAGUAACCUGCCCUUGACUCUGGGAUAAGCACUGGAAAUGGUGUCUAAUACCGGAUAUGACUGAUAGCCGCAUGGUUUGUUGGUGGAAAGAUUUUUUGGUCAAGGAUGGACUCGCGGCCUAUCAGGUUGUUGGUGAGGUAAUGGCUCACCAAGCCUACGACGGGUAGCCGGCCUGAGAGGGUGACCGGCCACACUGGGACUGAGACACGGCCCAGACUCCUACGGGAGGCAGCAGUGGGGAAUAUUGCACAAUGGGCGAAAGCCUGAUGCAGCAACGCCGCGUGAGGGAUGACGGCCUUCGGGUUGUAAACCUCUUUUAGUAAGGAAGAAGAACUUCGGUUUGACGGUACUUGCAGAAAAAGCACCGGCUAACUACGUGCCAGCAGCCGCGGUAAUACGUAGGGUGCAAGCGUUGUCCGGAAUUAUUGGGCGUAAAGAGCUCGUAGGCGGUUUGUCGCGUCUGCUGUGAAAACUGGAGGCUCAACUUCCAGCCUGCAGUGGGUACGGGCAGACUAGAGUGCGGUAGGGGAGAUUGGAAUUCCUGGUGUAGCGGUGGAAUGCGCAGAUAUCAGGAGGAACACCGAUGGCGAAGGCAGAUCUCUGGGCCGUAACUGACGCUGAGGAGCGAAAGCAUGGGGAGCGAACAGGAUUAGAUACCCUGGUAGUCCAUGCCGUAAACGUUGGGAACUAGAUGUAGGGGCCAUUCCACGGUUUCUGUGUCGCAGCUAACGCAUUAAGUUCCC